GAUGAACGCUAGCGGCAGGCUUAAUACAUGCAAGUCGAGGGGCAGCAUGAAUGUAGCAAUACAUUUGAUGGCGACCGGCAAACGGGUGCGGAACACGUACACAACCUUCCUAUAAGUGGGGAAUAGCCCAGAGAAAUUUGGAUUAAUACCCCGUAACAUAAUGAUGUGGCAUCACAUUAUUAUUAUAGCUACGGCGCUUGUUGAUGGGUGUGCGGCUGAUUAGAUAGUUGGCGGGGUAACGGCCCACCAAGUCUACGAUCAGUAGCUGAUGUGAGAGCAUGAUCAGCCACACGGGCACUGAGACACGGGCCCGACUCCUACGGGAGGCAGCAGUAAGGAAUAUUGGUCAAUGGACGCAAGUCUGAACCAGCCAUGCCGCGUGAAGGAUUAAGGUCCUCUGGAUUGUAAACUUCUUUUAUCUGGGACGAAAAAAGGCUAUUCUUAGUCACUUGACGGUACCAGAUGAAUAAGCACCGGCUAACUCCGUGCCAGCAGCCGCAGUAACAC
rnacentral:rRNA from 1 species